rnacentral:rRNA from 1 species
CACGUAGGGCGCAAGCGUUGUCCGGAAUUAUUGGGCGUAAAGAGCUCGUAGGUGGUUUGUUACGUCUGCUGUGAAAACCUAGGGCUUAACCCUGGGCUUGCAGUGGAUACGGGCAGACUAGAGGUAGGUAGGGGAGAAUGGAAUUCCUGGUGUAGCGGUGAAAUGCGCAGAUAUCAGGAGGAACACCGGUGGCGAAGGCGCCUAUCUGGCCCAAUACUGACGCUGAGGCGCGAAAGCUAGGGGAGCGAACGGG